UGGGGAAUUUUGGACAAUGGGCGAAAGCCUGAUCCAGCAAUGCCGCGUGUGUGAAGAAGGCCUUCGGGUUGUAAAGCACUUUUGUCCGGAAAGAAAUCCUUGGCUCUAAUACAGUCGGGGGAUGACGGUACCGGAAGAAUAAGCACCGGCUAACUACGUGCCAGCAGCCGCGGUAAUACGUAGGGUGCAAGCGUUAAUCGGAAUUACUGGGCGUAAAGCGUGCGCAGGCGGUUUGCUAAGACCGAUGUGAAAUCCCCGGGCUCAACCUGGGAACUGCAUUGGUGACUGGCAGGCUAGAGUAUGGCAGAGGGGGGUAGAAUUCCACGUGUAGCAGUGAAAUGCGUAGAGAUGUGGAGGAAUACCGAUGGCGAAGGCAGCCCCCUGGGCCAAUACUGACGCUCAUGCACGAAAGCGUGGGGAGCAAACAGGAUUAGAUACCCUGGUAGUCCACGCCCUAAAACGAUGUCAACUAGUUGUUGGGGAUUCAUUUCCUUAGUAACGUAGCUAACGCGUGAAGUUGACCGCCUGGGGAGUACGGUCGCAAGAUUAAAACUUAAAUGAAUUGA
rnacentral:rRNA from 1 species